GAAUUACCGAUGUGAGCCACUGUGCCUGAUCCCGAAAAGAACAAGAGCUACUCUUAGCCAGAAAAAUGCCAGAUGGUACUGAGGAAUCAGACUCAUACUAUUCCAGAGCAAUGUCAUCUGCAGAAGAGAGCCAAUAGCUAAUUGACAGAGAUGCCCUUGUUGUUUUUAUGGAAGUCAAGAUGUCCUAUGUCUAUCACCAGACCUGUCCUUCUAUAAUUGGCUUGGGUCUCAAGCUCUCUUUGGAACUUUAUUCUAGAAAUUUGGGGAAUGCAUACAACUUUUGCCUUGCUUCUGAAAUGAUAACUCUGCAUUCGUUCUCAACCAUCAUUAAUCAUGCAUAGCUGUGCUCACUGAGGCAAUGUUUUUGAGAACCGAUGGAUGAACAAGAUCUUAUUAGCACUGGUUUCCAUGGUUUAUCACUUAUGGCCAAUGUCACACAGGAUUUUCAACCAGGAUGGGAACGCCCAGCAGCUGGAAGUCCAGCUGCCAAUUCAUCAAUU